rnacentral:rRNA from 1 species
AUUGAACGCUGGCGGCAGGCCUAACACAUGCAAGUCGAGCGAGCGGCGGACGGGUGAGUAAUGUCUGGGAAACUGCCUGCUGGAGGUGGAUAACUACUGGAAACGGUAGCUCAUACCGCAUACCCUCAGAUUUGCCCAGAUGGGAUUAGCGGGUAGGGGGGGUAACGGCGCACCUAGGCGACGCUCCCUAGCUGGUCUGAGAGGAUGAACAGCCACACUGGAACUGAGACACGGUCCAGACUCCUACGGUAGGCAGCAGGGGGGAAUAUUGCACAAUGGGCGCAAGCCUGAUGCAGCCAUGCCGCGUGUGUGAAGAAGGCCUUCGGGUUGUAAAGCACUUUCAGCGGGGAGGCGUUACCCGCAGAAGAAGCACCGGCUAACUCCGUGCCAGCAGCCGCGGUAAUAC